AUGGAUAAUGGAGGAUAAUAUGCAAAAAUACUGAAAUAUCUUUACUUUUCCUGGAUAAUCAUCUAAAAUCUAUUGGCAAAACAUUUGGCUCUAGCGGUAAGAGAAAAACUUUUUGGUAGGGGCGCUGUCCGCUGUCGCUGACGCUAUGACUCUAUGAGGCUAUCACUAUCGCUCUAUCAGAUUUAGAGUAUCAGCACUUCAGCAGUUUUGUUUCUGUCAUGCCGGACUGCCAGUCUGAUGUAAGUAACAGCUAGCAGACGACUAAUAAAUUAAACAAGUCAUCAAGAACAAGCAACAAUUUCAGUGGUCAAGACUCAAAUUCUAGAUUGUACUCGAUAACACGUCUUUGUACUCGGACUGAGUGAGUUGUCAGAAAAAGAAUGUUGAAAACAUUGUCAAACAGGAAUCAUGGCACCACCUACUAGACGUCUUCAACCCUUUCAGCCUUACAACAAAGCUGGAAACAGUGGAAAGGCACAAUUCAUUGAUACGUGACUGGACAUAGAUGAAUUUAAACCUUGGCUCGA